rnacentral:rRNA from 1 species
CCUAGUACUGCGAGUGAAGCGGRAAAGCUCAAAUUUAAAAUCUGGCAGUCUUUUGACUGUCCGAGUUGUAAUCUAGAGAAGUGCUAUCCGUGCUGGACCAUGUAUAAGUCUCCUGGGAUGGAGCAUCACAGAGGGUGAGAAUCCCGUCUAUGACAUGGACUCCCAGUGCAUUGUGAUGUGCUCUCAAAGAGUCGAGUUGUUUGGGAAUGCAGCUCUAAAUGGGUGGUAAAUUCCAUCUAAAGCUAAAUAUUGGCGAGAGACCGAUAGCGAACAAGUACCGUGAGGGAAAGAUGAAAAGAACUUUGGAAAGAGAGUUAAACAGUACGUGAAAUUGUUGAAAGGGAAACGCUUGAAGUCAGUCACAUUGGCUGGGGAUCAACUCUGCUCUUUUGCUGGGUGUACUUCCUAGUUAAUGGGUCAGCAUCAAUUUUGAUCACUGGAAAAAGGUAGAGGGAAUGUGGCAUCUUAGGAUGUGUUAUAGCCCUUUAUUGUAUACAGUGGUUGGGAUUGAGGAUAUCAGCACGCCGUAAGGCUGGGUCAUUGACCACACUCGUGCUUAGGAUGCUGGCAUAAUGGCUUUAAUCGACCCGUCUUGAAACACGGACCAAGGAGUCUAACAUGCCUGCGAGUGUUUGGGUGGAAAACCCAAGCGCGUAAUGAAAGUGAAAGUUGAGAUCCCUGUCAUGGGGAGCAUCGACGCCCGGACCAGAACUUUUGGGACGGAUCUGCGGUAGAGCAUGUAUGUUGGGACCCGAAAGAUGGUGAACUAUGCCUGAAUAGGGCGAAGCCAGAGGAAACUCUGGUGGAGGCUCGUAGCGAUUCUGACGUGCAAAUCGAUCGUCGAAUUUGGGUAUAG